UACGUAGGGUGCGAGCGUUGUCCGGAAUUAUUGGGCGUAAAGAGCUCGUAGGCGGUUCGUCGCGUCGAAUGUGAAAACCCGGGGCUCAACUCCGGGCCUGCAUUCGAUACGGGCGGACUAGAGUUCGGUAGGGGAGACUGGAAUUCCUGGUGUAGCGGUGAAAUGCGCAGAUAUCAGGAGGAACACCGGUGGCGAAGGCGGGACUCUGGGCCGAUACUGACGCUGAGGAGCGAAAGCGUGGGGAGCAAACAGG
rnacentral:rRNA from 1 species